AGUGAACGCUGGCGGUAGGCCUAACACAUGCAAGUCGAACGGCAGCACAGUAAGAGCUUGCUCUUACGGGUGGCGAGUGGCGGACGGGUGAGGAAUACAUCGGAAUCUACUUUUUCGUGGGGAUAACGUAGGGAAACUUACGCUAAUACCGCAUACGACCUACGGGUGAAAGCAGGGGAUCUUCGGACCUUGCGCGAUUGAAUGAGCCGAUGUCGGAUUAGCUAGUUGGCGGGGUAAAGGCCCACCAAGGCGACGAUCCGUAGCUGGUCUGAGAGGAUGAUCAGCCACACUGGAACUGAGACACGGUCCAGACCCCUACGGGAGGCAGCAGUGGGGAAUAUUGGACAAUGGGCGCAAGCCUGAUCCAGCCAUACCGCGUGGGUGAAGAAGGCCUUCGGGUUGCAAAGCCCUUUCGUUGGGAAAGAAAAGCAGCAGGUUAAUACCCCGCUGUUCUGACGGUACCCAAAGAAUAAGCACCGGCUAACUUCGUG
rnacentral:rRNA from 1 species